GCUUUGGCAGGACGUGUGCUAUAAAGUUGGAAAAAUACUGAGAAGCUUGCCAUGGUCCCUGCACAAGGGUGCCACGCAGAUCUGUGAAACAUUCCAUUUAAAA
ensembl:snRNA U6 U6 spliceosomal RNA